AGAGUUUGAUCCUGGCUCAGAUUGAACGCUGGCGGCAUGCCUUACACAUGCAAGUCGAACGGCAGCACGGACUUCGGUCUGGUGGCGAGUGGCGAACGGGUGAGUAAUAUAUCGGAACGUACCCUGGAGUGGGGGAUAACGCAGCGAAAGUUGCGCUAAUACCGCAUACGAUCUACGGAUGAAAGUGGGGGCUCGCAAGACCUCAUGCUCGUGGAGCGGCCGAUAUCUGAUUAGCUAGUUGGUAGGGUAAAAGCCUACCAAGGCUUCGAUCAGUAGCUGGUCUGAGAGGACGACCAGCCACACUGGACUGAGACACGGCCCAGACUCCUACGGGAGGCAGCAGUGGGGAAUUUUGGACAAUGGGGGCAACCCUGAUCCAGCAAUGCCGCGUGAGUGAAGAAGGCCUUCGGG
rnacentral:rRNA from 1 species